AGGAUGGCAGAGGCCCCGCCCACUUUCCCACCGGGCGCGGGGGCGGUGCGGCUUAGAUCCACCCUUAUUGCCUCACCGCGCAAGCUGCUGUUGCGCGGACUAGCUGCAGGGAUGCUCCUGAGACUCCAGUGUACCGAAUUUGGAUCCGUUAAGGCAUGCCUUGGAGAUACUUUGGGUUUGGUUCCAGACCACGGCAAUAAAGCAAAUAUCACAAUAAAGAACUUUUUGAUGAAUUACACCAAAGAACAUUUGUAUAACAAUGGUCUGUAGAGCACUGGAAAGGCGUCAUGAUAAUUUGUAGGUAUCAUCUCUGUUUUCACGGAUGAAGAAAUGGAGGCCAAAAGUCAAUAACCUGUCCAGUUUCACACAGCUGAUCAGUGGAAAGACUGGGGUUUGAAUUCUGAUCUGUUUGACAGAGAUUCUGUAAGACAAGUGCUGUUAAUAUUGUCACCGGUUUAUAGUUGUCCAGCUCUGAGUUACUACUACUCAUCAAAUGGGCAGAAUGUGUCUCCCAUGCCCUGAGUUAGGGCCUAUUGUCUCCUCUAGGAUCCUUCACUCUCCUCCAAGACCCAAACAAAUGGAGGCGCUGCAGAACCAAUCUCUGUCCUUAGCUCCCAAGAACCUUAAACUAUGUAUCAUUCCCGAACAGUGCGUGAGGCAAAAAGCCAUGUCUGUGGAAGGAAAGCGGGUCAUAACAGAAGGGAGAUCUACGUUGUGCCUGGGGAGAGUGGGAAAGACUAGUUAUCAAUGAGCAACUCCUUGUACUCCUACCCUGGACCCGAUCAGAAUAUUCGAAACUGAUACCUUGCCAGAUGAUCUGAGCCAUAUCAUCCCAGCACUUUCGAGAAAUAUCUUUUUUUCACACAAGGGAGAAUUAGCUACCUUUCUUUCACCCAAUGGUGGUAAACGCAUAAAUAACUUCCCUUGGGAUUUGCAGAUAGGAUCAAUAGUUUGUUUCUUUUCCCCUUACUUGACAUGAAGUUUAUGGGAAGAACAUAUGAGUGAGCGUAUGUGUAUGUGUCUUGUAAGCUCAUUUCUAAUCAGCCCCUGGGAAUGCUGGAUCUGAGAAACACUUUGUCCUUCUGAGGAACAAAACCCUUCCCAGGUGACUGCUCAUCAUGCACAGGCGGGUGAUAUUGAGGACCAUGACAAUGGUGAAGGCCACAAGGCAGACGACCAUGUAGUAGACGCCCAUGUCUCCAGAGGUAAAGAUGACUCUCAGGGUCACCGUGUUGUUCACAGUGCCAUGGAUGUUAGAAGCAACACAUGUGUAUUUACCUCGGUCUGAAAAAGACACCUUGGUGAUGUUCAGGAGGCCGCUGUCAUGCAUCUGCCAUUUUCCUGUGGGAAGGAAGGGGGGAAAAUUCAACCGAGGACACACAGGUCAUAUUAAAGUGUCUACAAACUCUCACAUUACUAAAAACAUCUACUGCCGCCACUGCUACUCCUGCUACUGAUACCGACAGUGAACAAUUACUACGUGCCAGCCAGUGACACAGUGAUGUGCGUUAAUGCUUUUCAUCUCCACAACGACUCUGAGGUUGGUACUCAUACCGGCUCCAUUUCACAGGAUGAAAAGACUAAGGCACGGUUAGAUUAGCCCACCUUCCCAAGGUCACCAGUUUGGAAGAAGUGGGAGAGCAGAUGAACUCAGGGUCGAAAGGCUAUACUCUUAACCCCCAAGCCAUGCUACGUAAUUCUACAGCCUCGUGAAAAGUAGGAAAAAUAAACAAUCUGGAAAAUACUGCGCUCUUAUUAAAGAAUUCCUUAAACAUAGCAUCUGGUUUUCUAACCUGCCCACGAGCAUGACGCUAUUGAAUAUAUAUGUUCAUUGAGGGAGUUUAAUGCUUCUAAGAAUAUAAAGUAUUUUAGGAUCAACAUAAAGUCUGGAGUAAGCCAAUUAAAUUAUAAUUGUUUACCUGGGUUUCUCAUAUUUGAGGUUGAAGUUAUCCUUGUAUGACCUCAGUUAAUUCAAGCAUAACAUGUCAUUAAUUUUGAGAAUUUAUGAUGAAUUGUUUAUAGUACUUAAAAGUUACAAGCUAACAAUGUGAACAUUCAGAGGCUGGGUAUGAAUUAAUACCAAUUUAAUGUUUUAGUCUUGCAAAUAAAUUAUAGACCCAUCAAGUCGAAAAUAAGCCUCACAUAAUGGAGAAUGCAUGUUGAUAAGUGCAGUUCUAUUUCCUUCUCUGGCCUGAAAAGGAGCUAGUGUUGCCCCAGGGAUGAAGUUCUAAAUCAGGGGAAACUCUUUCAUUGGGAUUCAUUCUUUGUCUGCCUCUGUACCCACAGGUCAUUAGAGGUUUGGCUUCUAGGUCCUGGGUCUGAGGCUUUCUGAAAGCCUACCACCUCCCUAUACUGUCCUAUAGAGAUGGAAGGGUCCAGGACAGUUCUCUUGGGAGCUCUGAGGAGCAGACAGCGAGAUAUUUCUCCAUAAAAGCACUCCGGCUCCACAAGCCAACUAGAGGAGCCUCUCCUGAGAGAUGGAGCAGUUCAACAUGUAGUUUUCCUUUUAAGUACCUAUUAUCGAAUUGUAUUUUCACUUGUUUCUUCUCCUUCUGGCAGUGACUUCUAAUUCUAUUUAAAAAUCUGAUAUUUCCCAAAAGCAACAAGCAACUUGUUCCCCUCCUCCCCCCCUUUUAAACUUGUGAACACAUAAGUGACUACAGUCUCAGGGCACUAUGGACUGAAGCAAGAGAGGGCCUUCUUCAUUCCAGCAUCUUCUACUCCUAGGAAUAUCCUUAAGGAAGCUAGGGUGAGGAGGUGAGGUGCCUUCUGGGGACCUGUGGCCCCUCCUACCUGCUAGGCACGCUGGAUCUAGCAGGAUGCCUCUUGUAGGUGCUGUCCUAUUACUCUUUCUGAAAGAACAUCUGUGAAGAGUGGUUCCUAGUGUCCCCAAGUAACCCUUUUCUAACAAUUCGGCCAGUGUCUUUUCCCCAAGAGUAGAAAACACUGGUUUGGAAAAUCUAGUGAAUUUUUGGUUUCUUGUGAAUGUGUGUCAACCGACAAACCUAAGCACCCAGUCUGUGAAAUCUUCUCUCGUUUAGAUUGGGCAGGCCUUCCACUCCCUUCAUUCCCUGAACGUGGAUUUUGAUACUUCGGCUGCAGGUUUGUCCAAAUGUAGAAAUAAUCUGGGGCAAGGGAAUCAAUGUAUUAUCAAUUUAUAUUUUUAACAUGUGCAUGUUUCAUAAAGGUGGACUACAGCGGGCAUAGGCAAACUCGAGUUGACUGGAAACUUAUUACGGAUAUGGAAGGUAUUUGGUUCCAGAAAAUUACAGACUAUACUUGUAGGAGUUUCUCAAAUUUACCUUCUUUCUUUUGUUGGAAAAUAUAACAGGAACUAGGAUGGAAGAAGGUGAGGUGAGGUUAUUUAUGUGGGGAGUGGUAAGGGUCAAAUUGUUCAACUCCUAACCUCCCAUGGCCGUUCCUUUUAUGGAGGAAUUACCUCCAAAGUAGUCUGAACCUGGGAGUAGCAGAAGAGCAGAAAAGACCACUAAACUAAGAAGGCAGGUAUCUGAUGGUAUUAUGAACAGCUUCUCUUCACACCUAAAUAAUAAUUUUAGUGAUCACUGUAUUCUGUUAUGGGUCACAAAGCAAGUCUUUGGUAGCCAACAGACACACACGUAUGUGCACACACACACACACACACACACACACACACACCCCUUCCAAAGACCAUAAUGUCACAGGAGCUAAGGUUAUCACCUCAAAGGUGAUGUAAGUCUGUAUCACUUCUUUUUUAAAGGCUGAUACUAAGACUCUACAUAUUUCCUCUCAGUCUCAGCUUGACCGCUGGUUAGUGAAAAAUAAAGAUUUCUGUGUGUUCUACUACCAGAUGCAGCCCUGAAAACAACGAAGAUGGCAUAGAUUGCACUUUGUGGUCCUCCCACAUCAGCUCUGCACCCAGGCUCACGAAGAAUUUCCAUAUAGAACCCAUCCAGCUGGGAUCAUCUUGAGAACGUUUUCUGUCUUGCACGUUACCAUUCGCCUCAGUCUACAAAUAUCUUGCCCUGAGACUCAUUCUGGAAGGGUCUUGGCUUUAGCUUUAACUUUACUUAAGAAAACAAGAACACCCACAAUGACUGCCAUAGGAAACCAUCAGUGCUCUUCAUGAACUGCCAUAGGACCUUCCCACAGGUUUCCUCUCUGCCUGGAAAGCUCUCCUCCCUCCCGCCUCCAAGCCUUGCCUCACCCCUUCUUAGCCCAGUUCAGACACCACCUCGCUGUCACCUCGCUACCUGAGAAACCUUCUCUGACCCCUGACUAAACCAGUGAAGAAAAUCAGAAAGCCCAGAAGCAGAUGCCGGUCAAGAAGAGCCCAAGGCUAAGGGGAGACAUGACCGACUUCCAUUGGGGAAUGCAGCCAGAGAACACGACCUGUGUACUGGCACGUUUCCCCAUUCCACGCCAUGAAGCAAUUCGAUGUCAACUUGCUAUGGAGUCAAAUGCGACAAACUCCGAGAGCUCCAGUCGCGAGGCGGCGGCUUGCUGCACCCACAGCUUCCCGCACUCCUGCAGCAUCAGGACGCGGCACUCUCUCGGCUCUGGGCGCAGAACCCAAACUCCGGGCCUCCCGGCCACGGGACAGUACACCCUACCCCCGUCCCGGGGAAACUGAGGCACGGUGACCCAAGCGAUCUGGAGUCUGGCGAAGGCCCCCGCCGCUGCUUGGCGUUCCAGUGGCCCCGGAGGUUUGGGAGGCUCCUCGGCAGCACACUGUAGACACUGCGCUCCUCACCGUAGGAAGAUUAUGGCACAAGCCCAAGAGGUGGCUGUCCCCAACCCACCGGCCCCCGGGGUCCCGCCCCGCACGGAUCUCGAAGCAUCCUGCGACCCCCCAGGAGCCCGCUUCUGGGACCUCGCGGCGCCUCCAGUGCGCAGCCUACGCCUUGGGCUUCGCCAGCCUAAGCGCCCGAAAGUUCCGCGGCCCCAGCGUCCGCAGCGACCCGGCCGCCCACCCCGUGCGGGGCUCCCUGCCACCCGCGCCCAGUCGCCCCAUGCUGUCCCGGCGCCCCUGCUAACCUGACGCCGCCGCGCCACUCAGGUGGCCGCCGUGCGCCUCUCGCCAUGGCCAGCCUGCGAGCUGUCGCCGCUCCGCGCCCCGCGCCCGACGCCCGGCAGCACCGACUGCGGGCGAGCCGCCUCCGCCAGCGCCUGGCAGCGAUGCGGGCUGCGCCGCGGGCGGCCGAGAGUGCGGAGCUUCCCACCUACAGGAGCCGGAGCCGGCCGGUGCCGAGCAUGCCCAGUGCGGCUCGCCGGGCGGCGCGGAGGCGCGGGGCCAGGCGGGGUGUCGCCGCCGGGUUUUCGCUGCAGCCACAGGCGCGGGGCGGAGCUGGCGGCGCCGUGCGAACCUGUGGGAGCCGCGGGACACGCCCGCAGAGGAGUGGGGCGGGCUGGGGGCGCGGAGUCCCUCAUUCAGUUUGCUGAGCCUCCCGGGGUGGGACUCCGCCGGCCCCGGGGCCCCGCUCAAGCACGUCAUGGGUGUUGCUGGAGCCGAGGGCACUUAUUUCCGACGCUGUGGUGCUUGGGCAGCGUGACUGAUAAUUGUCAGGGGGCAGGGCGCUCCCAGGGCUUCCAGCGCAACUUUUCUGAGCGUCGCGUCGCCUUGUUGUUUAGGGACACCCGGGAACAGGUUUCCUAGGAUCCCAUCCUGGGAUACCGGAGAGAGCCAACGUCCAGCCCCUGAACUUACCGUGUCUCCAAGGCCACCUGUCAAGCCACUUUGCAAUUAAAAGCUUCGCUUGUCUCCCCGGGUGACUCUGCUGUCAGUUCUAAAUCCCACACUGAAGAAGCUGGAAGAAAACACAGCAGGACGUUCACUGGUGGCUUCUGAGAGGUGGGGUUCCAGGGAUUUUAAAUGUUCCUCAUUUUCGAUUAUUUGUAGGUUUCUAUGUUUUCUCUAAUGAACGAUAUGGUGCUUUUUAAAGAAGGUAUGUUAUUCUAAAAUUAUUUGUGAGUAACGCCUGCAGAACUUCGGCGGCACGACCCUGCGACGUAGGCAGCGCCCCCCGCCCUCCUCGUUUUCUUUUUAGACUUGAGGGAGACAAUUUCUGGGGGCUGGGCCAGGCUCCUCCUCCCCGGCUCCUUUCGGCCCGCCCCCUUGGCCACGCCUCACCUCGAUCCUUUUACUCCAGUACCGCCCCCUUCUCCUUCGGCUACUGCGAAAACUAGGAGAGGUGGAUUUUCAACACUGACGUUCCCCGUGGCUCUUGUAGCCAGACUGGGCAUGUUCCGCCGCCGGGUCAGGGACUGCUGACAGGAGAGAGGCGUCUUUAAGCAACUCUCAAUCUCCCUCCUUCUUCACUCUGUCCUUGGCGAACGAAACAAAGUAGCACCUCCGACCCCCUGCCCGGAGCUCGGACCUGCAAAGUGGGUCAGGACUCGACUGAGCAUGCUCAGAACAGUGCCAGAAUGCCGCACGCGGCUGCAUCUCGUUGCCCAAGGUUGAUGUAGCUGCGCUCGCUAGUCACGACCUCGAAGAAGAGAACACUGAAGUGCAGAAGGAUAACAGGGAAGAGAUUUUACAGGCUUGUGGUGAAUAAACUCAAGAACCCAGAGAGAGCCUUGCAGUGAGCCCAGGUUCUUUUCCUUUGGACCACUCCAUUAUCCCCUUCACUGGCAGAUGGACUUUGCAACCCCAGGGACUAGAAAUUGAGCCCAUCACUAUUAACAUGACAGAAAUCAUCUGGAGGCUGGAGAGAAUCGCCCCCAUGGGUCCUCCAAACAUUUGAAGAUUCCCCAGCUUUCCUCGUCCUACAGGCUUCAAGUGUCUGAAGUUUCUCAUGUUUGCCUUCUCUCAGUGGGAUUGACAGCCAUUGUGUAAUCCAUGGGUUGAAGACUGAAGAGCAACAAGAAGGAAGGAACUACAGUCUCUGAUUCACUGUUUGGACAGAGUUGCCUGCAGAUCACAUCUUUAAAAGUUUUAUGUGAGUCAGAAAUAAACUUUGAUUGUAUUAAGUCUUUGAGAAUGUUGUCUAAUACAAUCAUGAUAUUCAAAAGGAUUAUUACAUGGUAAAAAUCUGGGCACUGUUUGCUAAAGUAAGAUGAGUUGGGAGUGACAUGGUUUCGGCCAUUUUGGGGAAGAGAUUUUAAGGCAGAAGAUGGGUUUCUGUGUCUUGAAUAACAAUAAAAUGAAAACCAUCAUUUCUCCCAUUAUAGUGGAAAAGUUUGGGGAUGUAUUACAAGCAAGGGGCUGUAAGAGAAGGUGGGAGUAGUCAUAAUCCCUUUACAAGAUGACCAGGAUUGGGCUAAGGUUGAGAUCGUAAAGUUAGAGAUUAUUUAGAAAAAAAAAAGGUUAAAUGCAACAAGAUAAAUGGGAUAUAUGGAGAACACUGAAAAAACUACAAGAAAGUCUGAGGUCUACAUCCUUGGCACCCAGCUCAGAGAUACAUACAAAUAAAUAGCCACUUAUCAAAUGUUCUUGAUGAUAAUGGCAUUGGCAGAAAAGCAAAGGAGACAUAAAACUGGUUUAUUAUACUAAAAUGUAUUUCUUUGAAAUAAGUCAGUACUUGUUAAGUACUUAGUAUGUAGAAUUAGUAGGAUUAGAACAAUGAAUAAAGAUGAGCCUUGUCCUCAAGUAAGAUGGUUAGAGAGGAUGCCUGACUUGAAGUCCAGGUAAUCGACUUCCACGUCUAAUCUCUGGACAUGAGUUUUUCAAUGUCCAGACCACCUCCUGUCUCAGGCACUAGCGUGGUCCUGUGCCAGCAUUAACACAAUCUGUUUGCUUGUACUUCCUGCUUCAAGACAAAAGUGAUCCUAGAAACAGAUCUUAGUGUUUACAAAGACUGGCAAAUGUGAUAAAAGAAUUAAUUCACGGAGAAAAGAUACCUUAUUAGGUAAAAAUUUUGAAAAUAUUUAGAUUUUUCACCUUAAUCAGUGCCCCCGAAUGAUAACUAAGUAGGUUUAAGUACAAAAUGAGGAAAAAAAACCCAAAAAACAAAAAACCUAGAAGUCCUUAUAAUCUGAUUUUAAGUGGAAAUAACAAGAUACAAACUUUUCUGUGUAAUUUUGACAAUGGAAAAUAAUUGCACAGCCAAAAUACUAGAUUUAGACAAGCCCUUCAAGAAAAUAUAUUACAAAUGGUCACUAAAUUGGGGUAGGCUAUUUAAAAAAUUUUCAUUAUUCUUUUAUGUAUUUUCCAAGUUUGCUUCCAUGAGUGUGCUUUACUUUCUUAAUAAGGAAAAAAAAACCCUCUGCUCUUAGCUACUAAACUAACCAGUAGCUGGGAUGACCAUAUUAUUAUUAAUGUAGACCAGAAGAAUAAUUAUGUGACUCAACAAUCUAUUAUGAUUUUAAUAAUAUUACUAGAGACAUGAGAUCUAGAGAUAGGAGGUAACAUCUGAUAUUAAAAUAUUAUGGGUUGGAGUGGAGGGCAACUUUUAUUUUAAGAAGUCAUGUUAAAGAAAAAGUACAACUCUUUUCCCCUUUUACCUCUUUCUUAAUGGCUUUUUCUUCAAUCAGUUGUUUUACAUCAUAAAUGCCCUUAAUUUUAAGCCAUAAAAACAUUCCAGCAGUAGGAACAUGCCAUUCUGCCAAACCUACAAACCAAAGAAGAGAAUAAAUAUCUGCUAAAGCCAGUUUUGAUGAUGUCAAAUCUGUUACUUAAUGAUUCAAUCGCAGUAACUGUCAACUAGUAUUUCUAAAAAUGUUCCUUCAGAGAUAGCAUUUUUAAACAUAGAAUUUUAUGACUCCUGACAAUUGAUGUUCUGAGUUUAUUCCACAAAUAAGAGAGGUGGUGAAGGUAGAGAGGGAGAUAUAUACAUGAGUAUAUAUUUCUAAUUGUAGUCAGUCUUAGGGUUGUGUGAGGAGUCUAUGGCCUAUGUCUACUUCCCGUAAUUAGAACCAUACAGAAGCCAAAUGUGGCUCUUUCAUAUUUAGGAGAGUCCUUAACUCCUACAUUAUUCCAGUGCUUCAAUAAAUCCUAUCUUUUAUGUAAUAGUUUUGAAGUCCAAUGGAUUAGAGUUUUUAUCAGAAUGUAAUUAAUUAUGAAAAGAAGUUCCUGAAAUUCAAGACCACAUGCAUUUGUAGGUUUUAAGUUUCAUUGAGUAUUAGGAUAGAGAAACCAAGAAGGAAGGAUAAUUAUUUUGAUUUUAAUUAUCUUUUUUUAAAAGUCGCUUUUGAAUCAAACCUUUUCUUUAACUCCAUUAUACAAAGUGGUAGGAUAGUACUCUUAUCAAAAAGACAAUUCUGUAUUUGCCAAGAGCUUACAAGAAACAAGAUAUGACAGAAAUAAGGACCUGUUUUUUUUUUUUUGUUUAUUGUUAAUCAUACUGAAGGCUUUUUUAAUGAUGUAAUUAAAACCAUGUAAUUCAUUAGUAGAAAAUUAAAUCUAACCCAUCCUACAAUCACAUUAGCAAUAGACAAUAUUAGAUAAAUGAGGUUAACGAUUAGAAUGCAAGUAAUCUGUAAUGAGAGAACUGCCUUAGAAUGUACUAUUUUGUUUUUAUACAGUCUGAUUAGAAAAGGAGUAUACUGUUGUUUGACAAUUCCUCAGCUGUUUGCGGGAAAUUUUGAAGUAACUCUAAAACCUUUUGAGUAUUGGCAUCAUUUAGCUUUAAGUUAUUGCUGAUGGGUUUUUAGACUAAAAGGUCCUUUUUUCUCCCUUUAAAACACAAGCUCUUUGCAGCGGACAGGUAAUGUAGAGAUAGGUAGAACAGUGCCAGGGUUUGGAGAUUGUUACUUUUGAGACUACUUACAGGGCACCAUUUCUUGGCAAGAAUACUUCUGGACUCUUGUUUCUUUUCUCCCAGGCUUAUUAUCAGUCACUAUGCGGUGUUUAUUCCCCACUCAUAAAAGUGCUAGUGUCUAUCACAGGACAGGAUAUAUGUUCCACUCACCACUUAACCAUUUGUCUGCAGCUGCCAGUAAUGCAUCCUUCUGCUUCCUAUAGAAAUCAGUAACCCUGGAAGAAACAAACAACGAAAAGCAUGUGUUAAAUACAUGCUUGAUUGAAGAAACCCAAAGGCUCUGGAGUCCAGUCUAUAGGAAUUUGUUUUCCACCUUGUUUAAAAGGUUGAAUACUUGAAAUGGGAACACAGCAUGUUUGUUUACCUGUCUGCUGUGUGGGUGCAGCUUCCCAAUCCUUUGCAGACAUCAUUCUAGUCAGCCACUGCCAAGAAACUAGUUCAUAUCCCAAAUGAAACCUACCUCAUAUCCCUUGUAUGAUGUUUAAAAAGCUAUGAACUAGAAUUUGGAGUUCAAGAAGACCAUCAGCCCUGAUUUACUGUUUGCCCAAAUGCGUGGUAUAGAGAGCUAGCUACUAUUUUAAAGGUAAGUCUAUUUCUGGAAAGAGCAGUAAUGCCAGACAUGAGAAAUACCAAUUCUGUGAUAAAACUGAAAGAUUUAAGAUUGAAGUGGUAGCAAAUUACUAAUAAUUUUAUUUAAUUUCCACAUAAAGAUAGAUUAGCUCUGACUCAGCAGCCAGGCUAAAAUCAAAUCAGUGUAAUAACUUACAACUUACCUUCCAAUUGUGAAAUAAAUUCAUAUCACCACUUACCUUGUUGAACUGGAGAAAAUAGUAAGGAUCAUCUUCUAUUAUGAGGAAAUCAUAUUUUCUUGCAAGCUAAAAAAGGUCAAAGUCAUAUAUUUAAUUCUUAAGAACUGUCUAAGCUGACUGGAAUCAUAAUUCUUUGUAUCCAUCCAUCCAUCCAUCCAUCCAUCCAUCCAUCCAUCCAUCCAAGAAACUACUGAGUACUUAUUGUUGUAGAUAAUGAAGAUAGAGGGAUGAACAAGGCACUGAGGGCUCUCGUUCACAUGGAACUUACAUUCCAAGUUCUGGGAAAGAUGAUAUACAUAAGACCAUGCAUAACGAAGAGAAGAAAUACAGAUGAGAGGUUUUAGGGGCUAGGGAAAACAUUAAGCAGGGUGAUAUUGAGUGGGGGGUGGGGGCAGAGAGAGAGAGAGAGAAAGAGAGAGGAAGAGAGAGAGAUAGGGUAGCUAUUUCAGAGUGAAUUAUUGGGAAGCCUGUCCUGCCUGACAAGGUUACGCAAGAGCUCAGAAUCACAGGAUGGAGCCAGUUGUGCAAAUAUCAAGGAAGAUUCUAAGCUGAGGGAUGAGUGAGACCAAAAGCCCUUGGGUGGGGGGG